rnacentral:rRNA from 1 species
UACGAGGGGUGCAAGCGUUGCUCGGAAUUAUUGGGCGUAAAGGGUAGGUAGGUGGUCUCAUUUGUCUGGGGUGAAAGCCUUGAGCUUAACUCAAGAAGUGCCCCGGAAACGGUGAGACUGGAGUCUUGGAGAGGGUCGUGGAAUUCCCGGUGUAGCGGUGAAAUGCGUAGAGAUCGGGAGGAACACCAGAGGCGAAGGCGGCGACCUGGACAAGUACUGACACUCAAAUACGAAAGCGUGGGGAGCAAACAGG